CGCGUAGGCGGGAUGGCAAGUCGGUCGUGAAAUCCUUCGGCUCAACCGAAGAACGUCGGCCGAUACUGCCGUUCUCGAGGGAUGCAGAGGAGACUGGAAUUCCCGGUGUAGCGGUGAAAUGUGUAGAGAUCGGGAGGAACACCGGUGGCGAAGGCGGGUCUCUGGGCAUCUCCUGACGCUGAGGCGCGAAAGCGUGGGGAGCAAACGGGAUUAGAUACCCCGGUAGUCCACGCCAUAAACGAUGACGACUAGGUGUGGGGUGGUUCAGUCCACUCCGUGCCGCAGCUAACGCAUUAAGUCGUCCGCCUGGGGAGUACGGCCGCAAGGUUGAA
rnacentral:rRNA from 1 species